UACAGAGGUCUCAAGCGUUGUCCGGAAUUAUUGGGCGUAAAGAGCUUGUAGGCGGUUUGUCGCGUCUGCUGUGAAAUUUCGGGGCUCAACCCCGAACUUGCAGUGGGUACGGGCAGACUAGAGUGUGGUAGGGGAGACUGGAAUUCCUGGUGUAGCGGUGAAAUGCGUAGAGAUCUGGAGGAACACCCGUGGCGAAGGCGGCUCCCUGGUCCGGUUCUGACGCUGAGACGCGAAAGCGCGGGGAGCGAACGGG
rnacentral:rRNA from 1 species